rnacentral:rRNA from 1 species
GACGAACCGUGCGAACGUUGUUCGGAAUCACUGGGCUUAAAGGGCGCGUAGGCGGGCGAUCAAGUCAGGGGUGAAAUCCUCCGGCUCAACCGGAGAACUGCCUUUGAUACUGGUCAUCUCGAGUGAGGUAGGGGCAUGCGGAACUGAUGGUGGAGCGGUGAAAUGCGUAGAUAUCGUUUGGAACGCCAAAGGUGAAAACAGGUCGCUGGGAGUGUGCUGACGCUGAGACACGAAAGCCAGGGGAGCAAACGGG